rnacentral:rRNA from 1 species
UACGGAGGGCGCUAGCGUUGUUCGGAAUUACUGGGCGUAAAGCGCGCGUAGGCGGACCUGCAAGUCGGGGGUGAAAGCCCGAGGCUCAACCUCGGAACUGCCUUCGAUACUGCGGGUCUCGAGUCCGGGAGAGGUGAGUGGAAUUCCUAGUGUAGAGGUGAAAUUCGUAGAUAUUAGGAAGAACACCAGUGGCGAAGGCGGCUCACUGGCCCGGUACUGACGCUGAGGCGCGAAAGCGUGGGGAGCAAACAGG